rnacentral:lncRNA from 1 species
UUUUGUAGUCUGGGCUUAUGGGUUUUGGGGGCAGAAUACCACCAGGCGAGGUUCCCAUCUCAUCACAUUAUGUUAGGAAUUGUGUCACAUCAACAUGCCUUAUCACUGGUAAUAUUAACUUUGAUCACUUGGUUAUGGUAGACUCUGCCAGGUUUUUCCAUUGUAAAGUUACUGCUUUUUCUCUCUCUGUAUUCUAUUCUUUGGAAGUCAGCCCACACCUAAGGGGAGAAGAAUUAAGCUUUAUCUUUGAAGGGAGGAAAUAUCUACAUAUUUUAUUGAUUGAUUGAUUGACUUUGGUGUGGACUCAUGGAUAUUUAUUUUAUUAUUUGGGUUAUCAUCUAGUGCCAUCACUAUUUUAUUCCUCAUAAACUAUUUUCUAAUUCUUAAGAUUUCAUUUUGCAGAGCACUCUAGCACUAAUAUUGUGUGUAGCUUAGUGCAACAUUUUAUCCACCUGUUUUGCCUCUUCCUCCUCCGCAUGUUUGCACUCUCAUUUUUUCAAACCGAUAGAUUCAGUUUUGCUGUUCUGGUUAAGACGAAGGUCAUUUUCGUAGUCAAGUUGUAAUGCAUGCACUGUGGGAGGAGAAGUCAUAAUACAAAACUUCUUGUCGGCAGAUUGGCGAAUUUACCUGAGACAUUGAGGCUCAAGAUUAUGAGAAUGUGUGAUAGGACCAAAAGCAUAUUUCCAGAAAGGAAGCCAGAAGAGGCAAUUAAAGAAUGAGACUGCAAGAAAAAUGCUCUUCUCCCUCUCUCUUCUUGGAAUGUCAACAUAGUUAUUGCUUUUCUGUGUGUCUCAGGGGGGCACUUGGCUGCUUCUUUCCACAGUCUUAUUCCAGGGAGAGCUGUUUAAUUGCAGCCUUCAUGUAGAGUAGGCGCUGGCAAGAGCCGUAGUCAGCUUUCUUCUC